GCCAUUGUGGUUUAGUGGUUUGAGAGUUAGACUAGGGCUCUGGGAAACCUGGGUUCCAAUCCCUGCUUGGCC